rnacentral:tRNA from 1 species
AGAGGUGGCAGAGUCUGGUUGAAUGCGGCGGUCUUGAAAACCGUUGAAGGUUUAUGCCUUCCGGGGGUUCAAAUCCCUCCCUCUCCGCCA